GACGAACGCUGGCGGCGUGCCUAAUACAUGCAAGUCGAACGCAGUGGGGACGGGUGAGUAACACGUGGGUAACCUCCCAUCAGAGGGGAUAACACUUCGAAAAAGGUGCUCAACCGAUACUGCUGGAUGGAACCGCGUGGCAUUAGCUAGUUGGUGAGGUAACGGCUCACCAAGGCCACGAUGCAUAGCCAACCUGAGAGGGUUAUCGGCCACACUGGGACUUAGACCCGGCCCAGACUCCUACGGGAGGCAGCAGUAGGGAAUCUUCGGCAAUGGACGAAAGUCUGACCGAGCAACGCCGCGUGAGUGAAGAAGGUUUUCGGAUCGUAAAACGCUGUUGUUAGAGAAGCGGGAUCUAAACAGAAAGCCACGGCUAACUACGUGCCAGCAGCCGCGGUAAUUG
rnacentral:rRNA from 1 species